UCCUGGCUCAGGAUGAACGCUAGCUACAGGCUUAACACAUGCAAGUCGAGGGGAAACGAUAUUGGAAGCUUGCUUCCGAUAGGCGUCGACCGGCGCACGGGUGAGUAACGCGUAUCCAACCUGCCCAUCACUUGGGGAUAACCUUGCGAAAGUAAGACUAAUACCCAAUGACGUCUCUAGAAGACAUCUGAAGGAGAUUAAAGAUUUAUCGGUGAUGGAUGGGGAUGCGUCUGAUUAGCUUGUUGGCGGGGUAACGGCCCACCAAGGCGACGAUCAGUAGGGGUUCUGAGAGGAAGGUCCCCCACAUUGGAACUGAGACACGGUCCAAACUCCUACGGGAGGCAGCAGUGAGGAAUAUUGAUCAAUGGACGAGAGUCUGAACCAGCCAAGUAGCGUGCAGGAUGACGGCCCUAUGGGUUGUAAACUGCUUUUAUAAGGGAAUAAAGUGAGUCUCGUGAGACUUUUUGCAUGUACCUUAUGAAUAAGGACCGGCUAAUUCCGUG
rnacentral:rRNA from 1 species